rnacentral:rRNA from 1 species
UACGUAGGGCGCAAGCGUUUGUCCGGAAUUAUUGGGCGUAAAGAGCUCGUAGGCGGUUUGUCGCGUCUGCUGUGAAAACCUAAGGCUCAACCUUGGGCUCGCAGUGGGUACGGGCAGACUAGAGUGCGGUAGGGGUGACUGGAAUUCCUGGUGUAGCGGUGGAAUGCGCAGAUAUCAGGAGGAACACCGAUGGCGAAGGCAGGUCACUGGGCCGCAACUGACGCUGAGGAGCGAAAGCAUGGGGGAGCGAACAGG